AAGAGAUGAUGGGCCAAGAGGAGGAUGGGACAUACAAAGGAACAGAGAGCAGAGACCACGUGGCCCCAGAGAGCGGAAGUGCGCAGUUGGUCCGCCAUCUUUGAGUACCCUCCGGAUUACUGACAACAGCCCCGGGUGGGCUUCCAUUUCCUGGGCCAAACAUGCUCUGCCUAGUUGCGACUGUUUCAUCCACAAAUGGGAGAAAAAAACUCUUUGCCUUGCCUUGCCUCCUGGAGGAAUAGAAUGAGAUGCUAGUUGCCCAAGUUUGUAAACUGUAAAGUGCUCAAAAGACCUAAGGAAUUCUCAUCCUUGUUAUAAUCGUUGUCAGCAUGAAUGCUAUUGAUUAUGCUCUGACUAGAAAGAGCACACGUCUCUACAACUUAGGGCACCUUUAAAGCAAAUCUUUUGAAAAUCUGAACUCCACCCUUGCCAGUAAGGAGAAAAACUGGAAAAACAGCUUUGAGAUACCAUUUAUAAUCUUCUAAAGUAGCCAACUGGGAGGUGGGGGGAGAGCCGAAGUUGGCAAGAUUAUAUACUGGAACUGGUAGAUGCAAUCGGUGUUGGUAGUAUUAUAAAUCUGAGUAAUUCUUUUGGAAGCAAUCUGGCAAUCUUUUGCAGGAACCAUAAAGACAUUUAUGUCGUAUUGCUUGACCUGGUAAUUUCACUCUGAAAAUCCAAUAUAAGCAAAAAUCUCCGUGCAUGAAGGUGUUCACCGCAACACGGAAAAUUUAGAAACACUCCAAGUGACCGACAUUUGGGGAGCAAUUUAGUAUGUCAUGUUAUUAUGCGAUAUUAACUAGUGGAUGAUAAUUCUGAAGCCUAUGAAUAAACACGGAACUCCAAAGGCAGUCCGCAGGACAGGGGGGAGGGCUGGCAACUGGGGGUGCCCCCAAGGCCUUUCCGGUGGCGGUUUCCCUUCUUGUUGUGUCCCCCGAAGACCCAGCUCUGCACAUGUAGACACGGGAGGCCUCAGGGUGAGAAAGCAAGUUCAAUCAAAGGUUUGGGGUCACCCUUUGGUGUACCCUUCUCAGUUUAACAAACAUGCUGGAGAAAAAGUUUCUAAUUAGGGGACCCUUCCCCCAACAGCCUAAUUCCUGAGCAUCCAGCUAACCGAGGCACAUCCCUGGGUAAUGUCCCAUGCCAGGCGAAGGUAGAGGCAUGAGGGAAGCUGUGAAGUGAGGGUCUACCCAGGCUCUAAUCCCACCCACUGGCUGGAUGACCUGGGAAAGCCAGGGGACCUCUCCGAGGCUCAGGUUCCUUGUCCAGUUGAUGAACAGAGACAGGUGCACCAUUUAGAGGUGUGUGGGUUAAACUAAACUGGGCUUCAUGUCUUUGUGAGUCUGAGGCUUUCUAGCCAGAUGAGCUGACUUGUUAGGAAGACAGCUCUGCCUAGGAACCCAGGAGCUAAACCAAGGGGAUGGGGAGGGCGGGUUGUGUCUGUGCCCAGGUUCAGCCUCUGGGUUGGAUCCGAGUCCCAGGGAGCCGAGACCUGCAGGGGGAGGCCCAAAGAGCAGUUUUCACCAAGAACUGUGAGAUGUAGGAUCCCAGGCGGGGCUGGAGGGACCCGAUGAAAAAUGUCCUGCAGAGAGGGAGAGAGGUACCUUCCCAUAACCUCAUUUGACCCCAGCCACUUCCUUCCCAGUGUUCUCAUCUGCACUUUGAGGCAAUACUAGUUAAUCUCCCCAAGUUCUCUGCUUUUGACAUCAGUGAGUAUAUCCCUGGGGAAGGUGGGAGAGACUGGCUUUACUUGAUCUACUGCUACAGCGAAUAGUUGGCCCCAAGCGCCAUAGGAGCUGGAGGUCAUAGUGGGCCUAAGUAGCUGGAAAAAGGAAUUCCAAUCCCUUGGUAUUCAAGGGAUUUGUUUGAAGCAAAGAAAGGAUGGGUGUGGGAGGAGCAUUGUGGAUCUGCUCAGAGGUUGCUUCAACAGGAAACCUGAUAGGGCUGGAGGAACCGGAUUUCUGGAAGGAAGGGGUGGAGAGCUGGGGCAAAAUGCUCUCCCUAGCAAGUCAGCUGUGCCCCUUCGUAGGUCCCUGGGUCAGAGCCCUGUUUAAGUCAGUUACAUUCAAUCCAACAAAAUAUGCUCAGAGUCUGCCUGGGUCCCACAUACUAGACUGGGGGCAGCUCACAGUUUUGUGGGGGAGACAGCAAAGGAUGGUUAAUAAAACUACAAAACCAAGUGUCCCUGUGCUUGGGGAGGGAGCAGCAGGACAACAACGUGAGAGCCUUUGCAGUCUGACAAGCUCUGUUCAAAUCCAGGCCCUGACCUUACAUGGCGGGCCAAAGCCUUCCUUCUCCUCUGGAUUGAAUCUCACACCUUGGAGAGGCCAUGCUUUGUCCUGCUUAUCUAUCCCCAAAAAGAGAGCAGCUCCCCAGUGCCAAGUAUGCAGACAUCACCUUUCUGGGGGCACCGACGACCUGCCAGGCCAUCCUGCUGGAUGGCUGACUCCUCCGUACAGGGGUGCGAUCUUCUAAGUCCCACCUUUGCCUUCGGUGCAAGGGACAGUGCUUGGCACAUCCCUUUGGAAUGCAUGAGCCAAUGGAAGAAUCCUAGAAGCCCAGAAACCUUGCUAUCACAUCAGCAGCAGGCUCAACAAUGAGUCAGCCCCCGACUUGGAGGGAGCUGGCCAGCCUUGAUUCUGGCCGGUGGUGAGCCGGGUAGAUGGGGAUUCACCCCUGUACUCCUGGUUUGGAAAGGGUGGGGGAUUUCUCUCUUGGAUCUUGAGGUUCACCAUUCAGCUUAGUCUUUUUUUGGAAACCAGUGACAGAAGGCCUACCUGGGGGCUCAAAGAGCAAAGAAUGAGAUGCAGAGGAAAGAGCCCCGGGUCUCCAGCUCCAGCUCUCUGACUCCCCAGGGGCCCUAGAGUUCUUAGUAGACAAGAAACAUGAAACAUUGUAUAUUCGUUUGGCUCUGAUGCUGAGUCCAGUAUGAUCUCCAUUUGACAGGAGGGCAACUUGUGCCCAGAGAGCUAAAGAAACUGUUUCAAGGUCACAGGCCUGGGAAGUGGCAGAGCCUAUAGGCCUGCGGACUCCUGAGCCCAGCUACAGAGCCACACUGUCACUCGCUCUGCAGUCCCAGGUCUGUGGGCGAGGCCGCCAUCAGCCCGUUGACCUCUCUUGGGCUACUGUCCUUCCAUCGCUGGAAGGGGCACGGUGCUCCCUUCCAGCUCCGAGAGCUGCUGGGCCUCUGGGAAGGCUGGGAGCAUGAGCUGGAAGCCCGUAGAGCCCUUCCCUGCCGCCUGCCAACCACCCGCCCUAGCUGCAGCCGAAGCUAUAAAAAGCACAGCCGUUCAACAAUAGGUGACAUCACCCAGCGGCGGAAAGAACUGGAUUCUGCCAGAUGCCAGGGAGAGUUAUGGCCCCUACCUCUCCCGCAGGACAGGAGCCCAUUGGGAAAGGGCCUGGGCCCUGCUUCGGAGGAUGCCUCCCCGCUGUGCCCUCGGUGGGUGUCCGGGCUGGGCCCUGCUCAGAGAAGACUCAGAGAUGUCAAUACUGAGUGUUGGAUGGAUCCAAACUGCCAGGCCUGCGUGGCUCCGUGCCUCAGUUCCCUCACCUGGAAACCCAGGACCGACAGUGAGCAACUGCCCAAGGCCCAUCUCAUCACUGCUGUGACACGGAGGAGCAAAACUGAGGCCCAGAGAGGGCAAGUCACCUGCCCUUGGUCACCCAGCCGGCAAGCGGGCAGGCGGAGAUGCAAUCCCGGUCCGUGCGCGGGGAUCCGAGUGUGCGAACUGAAGAGAGCCGCUCCCCUAGCGGAGUGGGCGCCGGGCCUGACGCUUUUCCUGCAGCCACAGCGUGGACGCCUGGUUUAUUAGCCGGGCCCGUGGAGCAACAGGUGCCUGACUCACCCCCGGCGGAAGUAAGGUGCUGAGCUAGAGCCGGGCAGGGCUGCCCCGGUCAGUGACCCCCCUGCCCUCGCCCUUAGUCUGGCAGAGAUUUGAACCAGAGGUGGAGCCAGGGUGGCCACUGAGUCCGAGAGCCCUGGCUUAUCUGUCCGUCCCCUCACCAAGCUGCUCACUGCUCCUCUCCUUCCCAGCCCGCUGCCCUGGGGAGAGGGCCAGAGGCUUCCAGCCCGGAGCAUGUGGGUCGGUGUCCUGACGAACCGUGGCUGAGCAGGGGGAGUGGGGCCUGGGCGGCCGGCAGCCCUCCUGUACUUCCUAGCAUGGGGCCUUGCCCGGCCCUCAGUGUGGGGGUGGCCGUGGCCGUGAGGACCAAUGGCACUCGGUAUGAGGCAGCCCCGAGCUGGAGCGUGUCUGCUCCCUCAUGGCUGGUGACAGGCACCCAACACCUCAGCAGGCAGAGACGGAGCCAGCUGUGGUCGCUGGCAUGCCUCCUUGAGUUCCCUGCACCCCGAAGAGCAGGAUGGGCAUUUCCUCCACCUGCUGUCUCUCCUGCUGCCCCCCUGUGCUCGCCGCACCGACCCCUGCGCCCUGCAACCCCCCAGCUCCAGCCGCAUCCUGCCCAGCCCAGGACAGGGAGGACGGUCUUCUCUUGAGACCACACACAAGUGCUGAAUCACAUACUUAAACUUUGUGUUUUAAUUCUCACCUACAAAAUCAACACCUCCAAACGACAUCACACUAAAGGCGCAAGAUCUGCCAAAUAUUCCAUGGA